UGGGGAAUCUUGCGCAAUGGGGGCAACCCUGACGCAGCCAUGCCGCGUGAAUGAUGAAGGCCUUAGGGUUGUAAAGUUCUUUUACCCGUGACGAUGAUGACGGUAACGGGGGAAUAAGCUCCGGCUAACUUCGUGCCAGCAGCCGCGGUAAUACGAAGGGGGCUAGCGUUGUUCGGAAUUACUGGGCGUAAAGCGCGCGCAGGCGGUUCGAUAAGUUGGGGGUGAAAUCCCCGGGCUCAACCAGGGAAUGGCCUUCAAGACUGUCGAUCUAGAGGACGAGAGAGGUGAGUGGAAUUCCCAGUGUAGAGGUGAAAUUCGUAGAUAUUGGGAAGAACACCGGUGGCGAAGGCGGCUCACUGGCUCGUUGCUGACGCUGAGGCGCGAAAGCGUGGGGAGCAAACAG
rnacentral:rRNA from 1 species